rnacentral:lncRNA from 1 species
UACAUCUAUCAUUACGCAUGCAAGGAAAUGAUUUUCUAACAGAACAACAAGGGUCAUGCAUCAUAAAAUUCUUCACGACAUUAUGAUAAUAUGAAUCGAUCGAUUCAUCUGGUAUUUCUGCUGAAAUUAUUUUAUCUAUAUCUCCAACAUUUUGAUAUUUAUUAUGAAGAAACAGCAAUAUGUGUGCAUGUUACAACCCCCGUUUUUGGAAUUCUAUUAUAUAUAUCACUGCAAAAAAAAAUUGUGAUUGGGGUAAUUGGUUGUAGUUUAUAUGUAAGAUAAAAUGCUUUCUUAAAUUAGCUUAUAAAUAUCAUAAGAAAUUAUUUAUACUGUUUAAUUAUAUACCUGAUUUAAUUGGUCCAAAAAUUUGUUUCUCUUUCAAAUCCUUAAUUAAGCGAUCCAAUUUUAUUUUGAACACCCUAGAUAAAAUGUCUGGGCGAUCUUCUAGUUUCAAGCUCCUCAUCUUUACAAAUCUAAUAAUUCAGGCCACUUUGGGUUGCAAGUAAAUGUGAUAAAGAGAUUUGGAUAUCCAACCCACUUGCAAAUUGCCGUAGCAUCUUGAUAAUUUUGAAUCAUGUAUCUUGCACCCCCUGUGAAUCUGGAUGAAAGAAUUAUCCUUUUACCUUGAGAAGAAAGAUUUAUCUCUCCAUGUAAAACUGCAUCUUCUAAUCCUUUAUACCUAUGAGCUCUUAAUUUUGUUUGAUGAGUUCUAAUAUACUUCAAUCUAGACGAUUCAACCAUUGUAAAUCCAUCGACCAAGAAUUAUUGAAAUAAUUGUCUUGAGUUCACAAUUGUUGGUACUUCACCCUUCCUUUCUUGAAUUUUGUAUGCGAAAUAUUCACGCAUGCUAACAAAAUGCCUUCCUCCACUUGAAUCGUCAUUUCCAUUUAAAGGAACGUCUUCCCUAAACCAUUUUCACCUAAUGGAAACAAUAAAGGAUACUGAAGACCUAAAUAGGCAGCAUUUAACUCAUUUAUCCUUUGUAGAUUUCCAGAUUGAGUUUCAACGAUGAUGUCUCGGUCACAUCUAGAUACAUCAAAACCUCCAACUAUCAAAGCGGCAACCUGGAAAUUGUUGGUAAGUUGUAUCUUCUUCCAUCAUAGUUACGUUUUCCUAUCAAUCUGAGUCUAAAAUUGGACUGACUAUCUUCCUGAAAUUUGUCUCUAACCAUUCUAAAUGACUUUGUCAAAAUAUUCUUCUCAUCAAACAUAUGUUUCAGAUCUUGAACAAUUUCAUCAUGAAGUUGGUUUAUUCUAUCACCACGACUGCAUUAAAAUAUGUUUUAUUAUAUUCGUCUAACUUUUGUAUUUUUUUAUAUUAUUCAUGGAUAUAUAAAUUUGGAAAAAUUAAAUACUAACCCCAUUGCAUGAAUUCUAUUCUGAACUUCGUUUUCUGUGCCAUAUAUAUAUAUAAUUGCGCAAACUUGGGAGUGGAUCCUUCAGAAGACAAUAAACUCCCCGAUUUGAUGAUAGUUUUCUCCAGAUAAUUUGAAUGUUCUUGGCCCCUUUGUUUGGUUGACGGAAGCAUCAAUUUUUCCUCCCAUUGAGGUAAAUAAAAACAUUGAGUUAUAACUUCUAAUAUUUUCUCUGAAAUGGUUACUUUUUGGACCUAGAUUAAAGUAUUUGUUGGUGAAUAAAUAAGUAAUGUUAUAUUUGAUAUACAAUUGAAGUUUUGGUAAAAGUAGAUUUCUUGUUACUUGUCCCGAAUAAUAAAUUUUUUAAAAUUGUGGGAGGUUCUUUUGGCUUUGGUAAGAGUAUUUUUCCUGAUUACAACACAAAGAAAACUCUGGUUUUUUUGCUUUGAUUUUCUUGUUGUUUCUUUCUUCGUACCAGAAGUAAGCACCACAAUGUUCACAUUCAUAUGUAGGAUCGCCUAUAUCUCAAUACUCUAUGAAUAAAAUAAGCAAAUGUAAGAUUAAUGUAAAGGCGUGGUAAGCCUAGUUAUUGUAUAUACAUAUUUUAAAAAAAUAUACAUACCUCCAUUGUCAAUAUUUCUAUAUCCAACAUCAGGAUCUAAAUAGUAUUAAAAUUAUAUUAUAUUAAAUAUGGAAAUUGAAAAGGGGUACUCUAUGAAUAAAAUAAGGAAAUGUAAAAAUAAGUUAAAGGCGUGGUAAGCCUAAUUAUUAUAGCUACAUAUAGGAAAAAUAUAUAUGCAUACCUUCAUUGUCAAUAAUUCCAAAUCCAACAUCACUAUCUAAAUAGUAGUAAAAUCAUAUUAAAUUAGCCAUGUAAAGUGAAAAGGGAGAUAUGAAUGAAUAAUUAUUUUUUUAAGAUAGACAUACCUUCAUAGUCGUCUUCAUCUUCAUUUGCAUCAUUAUUUGCUGCAAUAUUUUUCAGGUAAUACGUUUAGUAAUUAAUCAUGCUACCAUUAAUUUGAAAAUUACUAUAUUUGUAUAAUUUCAUAUGCAGGAAAAAAAUUUAUGAAUAACUUACCUAGUACAUCCCCAUCAAUAUUGACAUCCUCAAGUUCUAAAAUAAAAAAUCAUAGUAAAAUGUCGUGAGUAAAAUGAAAUUAUUAAUGUUAUAUUAUUAAUUUUAUUUAUAAUAAUAACCUGGCUGCAGGGAUAGCUCAUUUAAAUGAGGUAGAAGAUAACUUGUGUUCAAAUUUGAAUUUGACAAACCAAAUUGCAAAUGUUGCUGUUGUGGUAAAUUUGGAUACUGUGGUUGAGAUUGCAACGAUGAAGCGUGUGAAAAUCUAUCUACAGGUGUAUAAUAUAAUGUUGUGAAAACUUGACGGUUUGUAUGUCUGUUAAAGGUUAUGUUUCAUUUUCUUUUCCAAAUGCAUCACCUGUAAUGGUAUAAGGACAAAUAAAUUGUAUAAACCAUUAAACAUAUAGAGUACUUAAGCUAUAAAAUGUGGAAAAAAUAAAAGCAAAAUGAGGUUACACAAACAUUG